CUCUCGUCCUCUCGUCCUCUCGUCCUCUCGUUCCAAAAACCAGCGAUCUCUCGUUCUCCAGGUUUCUCCAGGUUCCUUUGUUAUUCUCGUCAUAUCUUCUCUAUUUCAAGUUCCUGCCUUUGCAAUUAAAAAGCCCACGGAGUUUUCAAUCCCUGUGCUCCUUUAUUGCCCGUCAUUGCAACUCCUUUGAGAUCUCUCUCGCUGAGCGGUUCGUGUCCAAUCCAACCAAUCGUGCGCGCUCUCACUCCCUCUCAGACCUGUCAAUAUUGUACCAUCAGUAAUUGGUAUCGAUGGCAAAGAAGGGGGCAUCUUCGUCAAAUCCUGUAGCUACAUGGAAUGCCCACAAUAUAUCUAUAUUUUGUGAUGUUUGCAUCAAGGAGGUUGAGGCCGGACAUCGUCCGGGCACUCACU